AUGAUGACCCUGGCAUUGCUGACACUUCUGCUGAUCAUGAAUGGUUCUGCAGUGGGAAAAAUGAUGAAAUCUAAUGAGAUGGCCUUUGUUGGACAGGAUGUACUUUUAUCAUUCAACUGUUCUAAUGUCCCAAAAAAUCUGAUAUGGCAGAAAGGUGAGAAACUAGUGAAUGUUCAUCCGCAUGACAAAAGCAUCAUCAAUGAUUCCUACGUAGAUAGGACGCAACUCUUCCUAAACAAGGAGAAGAGAAACUGCUCCCUGCUGCUCCGCAACGUCUCUUCAGGGGAUGCAGGGCUGUACACCUCUCAUGCCUUAGUCAGUGUUAGUGACAACGUCUGGUCAAGGAGGUCAUUAGAAGUUAAUCUAACAGUGUCUGAAAUGAAGAACAGCCCUGAAACAAAAGGCCAAACUGGAGGCAGUUCUGUCACAGCUGUCUCUAUUAGUGUUCCCAUAUUGGUAGUAGCGCUUAUACUGGCUGCUAGCCUGCUUCUAACCCUACUGAUCAGAAGACGACAUCGGCCUAACACGGACACUGAAUUACAGGCUGGGAGACCAAUGCUGGAGAACACCAAUGCUGUGUGAAGUUCUCUUGCUUGAGAGUUUAAGGGACUAACUUCUAUGUUGUAAUGCAAGGUCCUUCACAACAACAAUGGAUAAUAGGAGGCCUUAGCCCUAAACAAAUGCGUUUGCAUAUGGGCAUCCCACAGUGGUGCGUGCCGAUCCGUCUCACUUCGAGACAGAUCAAUGUGCAGUCUUCAGUUGUAACACUGUUUGAUAUAUACCACUGAACUGUGAAUAUACCCUGAAUAUACAUUCUGUAGGCAUUACAGUUUUGUAACUUAACAAGAUUCUCCUUGUAGGAACUGUCUUUAUUCAUUCUUUGAAGAACAGAUGUAAAAGUAGGGGAUGUGCAGUUUAUAUUUACCCUUUUUCCUUUUUCCACAUUGGUGGUCUCAAUCCUAAACAGGCUUUUCAAAUCACCUUAUUUUAAUGUUCAUAUGUGUACAGCAAUCAUUUACUAAGCACACAUCAUGUAAGCUUUUUUUACAUUUACUCCUGUAUGGGUUGAUUUCCUCAGCCUGUGCUGAUUUUCAUUUAUGUGGAAGAAAUAUGUGGCACUCCCUAUGGGAUAUAUUUGCUUUUUUUACUAUACUUAAUGUCAUUUACUUUUAAAUGAAUUUUGUAAAGUGCUUCAAACCUGCAGAGGCAAUAAACCUUUUACAUAUCCAGUUUUGUUUUCUUUU
ensembl:lncRNA